rnacentral:rRNA from 1 species
AAAACUUUCAACAACGGAUCUCUUGGUUCUGGCAUCGAUGAAGAACGCAGCGAAAUGCGAUAAGUAAUGUGAAUUGCAGAAUUCAGUGAACCAUCGAAUCUUUGAACGCACAUUGCGCCCGCCAGCACUCUGGCGGGCAUGCCUGUUCGAGCGUCAUUUCAACCCUCGGGCCCCCCUGGGGGCCCGGUGUUGGGG